rnacentral:lncRNA from 1 species
UUCACUGAAUUGAUUCGACAUGAGAAACAUCUUAUGGAAUUCAGAUGUCAAGAGAUGCUUCUCUAGUGGGGGUUAUGCAUGUGGUCCUUAGACCUGAGACCACCAUGGUACCUUGUGCAUAUGAAACCAUAGUUUUGGUUCAUACUCAUUCAUGACUUAGUCAUGUAUGGGAUGUUCUGAAUAUGGUGAAUUAUGUAUGAAGAUUAUGAGUAGGUCAAUAUAG